GGCUCCGUAGCUCAGUUGGCAGAGCACCUGACUUUUAAUCAGAGUGUCGAAGGUUCGAGUCCUUCCGGAGUCA
rnacentral:tRNA from 3 species